rnacentral:lncRNA from 1 species
GCUUGGGGAGAGGUACCUGCUGGCAGAGAGAUGCCCUCCUGAGCAGGCUGGAGGCAGGAGGACACAGGGCUGGGCACGGCCCUGGAGGAGUCUGGCUACCAGGUGNAACAAAAAAAAAAAAAAAAAAAAAAAAAAAAAAAAAAAGAGGAGCCAGAAACCCUUUGAGGGGGUAACCGAGGGGUGACUAAGGGGUGCUGGGCCUAAAACCUGAGCCGCCACCUGCUCCUGGCUGUGGUGACCGACAGGGACAGAAGGGAGGAUCCUUUGGGGACGGCUGGCCGCGAGCUGUGCGCCUCCAUCCCCAGCGGCAGCAAAGGCCCGUGCAGGCUUGGGGAGAGGUACCUGCUGGCAGAGAGAUGCCCUCCUGAGCAGGCUGGAGGCAGGAGGACACAGGGCUGGGCACGGCCCUGGAGGAGUCUGGCUACCAGGUGGACAGGGAGUAGGGGAGGAGCCCCGGCCCUCACAGCACAUGGGGCUGAAGCCAUGUUCCAGAGUGGACAUCACAGGGGGCCUCUCCGAGGUCCUCCUGCUAAGGUGAGUGGUCCCUGGGAGAGUAUCAGGGUGGGGUCACCUGCUAGGGAAGUGACAACAGUUUUCCCAAGGGCAGCCUUGCCAGGCUCUCAUUAGUCAUGAAAUGAGUGGACCAUCCCAUGAGAGCAUGUAUUUUUGGGCAAACGUGCAUUUUUCUCCAAAGGAUUUCUGGGUUGGAGGAAUGAGCAUUUUACCCGCUUAUAAACAAACAAGUCAGACCAGCCCCGUCACAGGACAUCCAGCCUUCCCAGAGGGCCAGGGGUCUGCAAGCAGGAGGGCAGAAGGCAAAGACCCUGCUCCCGCGGGCAUCCAGAGGCAGCAAGAAAGGGGGCGCCUGCAUAUGCUGCGCGUUGCAACCACCCAUGUAAGGAGACACUGCUCUGUUCUGCUUCUUGGAUACAAAAUACGAGGCCCAGAGAGGGACAGAGACCUGCCUGCAGUCACAGAGGGGGAGGCAAAAACAAGGUGAGAACUCGGGGGGGUUCGACUUGACGCUUUCACUAAGCAUCUAGGUCAGGUGCUAGGAAGGCAAAGAAGAAUCAGACAGACCGAGCCCUGCAUUUGGGAGCUCGCCGUCUCAUGGGGGAGACAGGCAGGUAACCUACAGUGGGGGAGGAACAAGGAGGUUGCCCCGGCCGAGGGGUCGGAAGGCUUCCUGGAGGAGGCAGCCUUUGGCCCUGGGGAGAAGGGAAGCGUGGCCAGCCGGCAGGGUCUUGCACGAGCUCCCUUCACAUCCUCAGCCGGGCCUCUCUCCUGCGUCCCCAGAUCUGCUGCUGACCGUGCAGGAUGCUGGCUUCAGCAGCCACUUCUCCCAGGCCUAUUUUUAGACCCAAUUCACUUCUAAAUGCAAACACAUUGUCAAGACAGUGGCCAACUUGGACCCCGUCCACCAGCAGCCCUCUCUGCGACACCAGAAUAGAAAACGGCUCUAUUUGUGGACGACGCGGCCCGUUGGCGGAGGCCUGGGCUUCGGCGGGAGGCCAGAUCGCGGCCCAGCCCCUGGAUGACCCGGACGCAUCGAUGCUUCCUACCCAAAUACAGUAUAAAAAUGCAUGUGGAAUCACGCUGCAGUUAAUCUCAUAAAAAGGCAACUUUUUCCUGGACCGACCAUGGUGCCAGGCGAGUGGGAGCCGAGCUUGGAGGAGAGUGGAUGCUAUUUGCCGUAGGCAGGCUGCCCGAGGUCGUGUCUCAUUAUCUCUGCUUUCCUAGUCAGAAAGCCCUUGGACCGGGAACUGGGGGUUGCAGACCGGUCUCAGGAGCACGAAAAUCCUAACAGCCACAGCUACUCAUUGUGUGUUCACUGUGGGCUGGUGCCGCAUCCACUCUCAUGCCCCAGAGUGCUCUCUGAGGGCUUAGGACUAGGCCUUACGCAUCCUCAUUUUCCCAGGAAGGGAUGUUUGUUUGACUCAGGAAGAUGCUCCGUAAUGGGAGUUGAAUAACUGGAUGACACUCCAGGAAAAAAAAAAAGG